rnacentral:rRNA from 1 species
AGCGAACGCUGGCGGCAGGCUUAACACAUGCAAGUCGAGCGCCCGUAGCAAUACGGGAGCGGCAGACGGGAGAGUAACACGUGGGAACAUGCCCUUCGGUUCGGAAUAACUCAGGGAAACUUGAGCUAAUACCGGAUACGUCCGUAAGGAGAAAGAUUUAUCGCCGAAGGAUUGGCCCGCGUCCGAUUAGCUUGUUGGUGAGGUAACGGCUCACCAAGGCGACGAUCGGUAGCGGUCUGAGAGGAUGAUCAGCCUCACUGGGACUGAGACACGGCCCAGACUCCUACGGGAGGCAGCAGUGGGGAAUAUUGGACAAUGGGCGAAAGCCUGAUCCAGCCAUGCCGCGUGGGUGAUGAAGGCCUUAGGGUUGUAAAGCCCUUU